GGCCCCGUAGCUCAGCUGGAUAGAGCGUCCCCCUCCUAAGGGGAAGGUCGCCCGUUCGAAUCGGGCCGGGGCCGCCA
rnacentral:tRNA from 3 species